CGGCCGCCUGCUUCCUGUAUUUGGUUUGGACGGCGUCCGACCUGGAGCCCCUGAGCACCGCCCCUUAACCCGGCGUCCCUGGACACCCCUCCGUGUGAGCUCGGCCUCAUGGCCGGAGCCCGGCUCUUUCGGUUCCGGGACGAGCCAGGCCCCGGAGCCGACCCGACCGUGCUGGAGGUCCGCGUCCCGCAGGUCCUGCAUGUCCAGUAUGGGAUGUAUGUUUGGCCCUGUGCUGUAGUCCUGGCCCAAUACCUGUGGUUUCACAGAAGAGUUCUGCCAGGCAAAGCUGUCUUAGAGAUUGGAGCUGGAGUGAGCCUUCCAGGAAUUUUGGCUGCCAAAUGUGGUGCUAAAGUAACACUAUCUGACAGCCCAGAGCUUCCUCAUUGUCUGGAUAUUUGUUGGCAAAGUUGCCAGAUGAAUAACCUGCCACAGGUGCAAAUUGUAGGACUGACGUGGGGCCACAUAUCAAAGGACACUUUGUCAUUGCCACCACAAGACAUCAUUCUUGGAUCUGAUGUUUUCUUUGAACCAGAAGGUAAGUCUAAUUUAUAGCAAACUUGGCCAGAUGUAUCUUAUAAAACUAACUUUAACUCCACCACUCCCCUCAGACUUUGAAAGCAUUUUAGCCACAGUAUACUUUCUGAUGCAGAAGAAUCCCAAAGUUCAAUUCUGGUCUACAUACCAGGUCAGAAGUGCUGACUGGUCACUGGAAGGCUUGCUCUACAAGUGGGAUAUGAGGUGUGUGCACAUUCCUCUGGAGUCUUUUGAUGCAGACAAGGAAGAUAUAGCAGAGUCUACCCUUCCAGGAAGACAUACUAUUGAAAUGCUGAUCAUCUCCUUUGCAAAGGAUAGUUCCUGAAUGAAUUAUACCUCAAGCUAUUCUGGGACAAUGUCUAAAUAACAUGGCAUAAAGAUGAAUUAUCUUGAGAAAACUCAGCGGGUGCAAGUCUUAAUGCUGUGAUGUCAUGCCUACGGCCAACAUUUAACUUCA
rnacentral:lncRNA from 1 species